rnacentral:lncRNA from 1 species
UGUGAAAAAUGUAACUGCGUUCCUUCUGGGACUUAUGGCAACAAGGAUGAGUGUCCUUGCUACAGAGACUUGAACAACUCCAAGGGCAAACCCAAGUGCCCUUAGGCCUUAACUUUCCAUUUAUUCUUUCUUAAUCACUUAGCUUGCCUGCUGUGUUACGAUAUCAUUAACUGGCCCUGCAUGCGCGCGCGCUUACUAUAUAAAAUAAUGUUUAUCGUCAUUUGCCAUCAAAUAUAUAAUUAAUUUGUGUUGCUUCGGGGAAUGGCUAGCUAGUUGUACAAAUGAUCAUGUGAGAUGUGCAGGUGGGGCGUACGAUGUUUACUUACUAACUAGACGGCAAAUUCUAUUUUUGCCUUUGUGGAACUGGAAAAUGUGGUCUCUAUGCACGUUUCUG